rnacentral:rRNA from 1 species
AUACGUAUGGGGCGAGCGUUGUCCGGAAUGAUUGGGCGUAAAGGGUACGUAGGCGGUUAAUUAAGUCGAGUGUGAAAGGUUGGGGCUCAACCCCAUAAAGCAUUCGAAACUGGUUAGCUUGAGAUGGGGAGAGGAAAGGGGAAUUCACAGUGUAGCGGCGACAUGCGUAGAUAUUAGGAGGAAUACCAGUAGCGAAGGCGACUUUCUGGACACAUACUGACGCUGAGGUACGAAAGCGGGGGGAGCAAACAGGAUUAGAUCCCCUGGUAGUCCACGCCGUAAACGAUGAAUGCUAGGUGUCGGGGGUCAAACCUCGGUGCCGCCGCUAACGCAUUAAGCAUUCCGCCUGGGGAGUACGCACGCAAGUGUGAAACUCAAAGGAAUUGACGGGG